rnacentral:pre_miRNA from 1 species
GGGAGGAGUGCAAGAUCCUGGGCUAUGUUCCCCGGCGCCCUGGGAUCCGGAGCCUGAACUGCUGGAAUUGGGCUCCCGGGGCUGCGCAGCCCCCU